ensembl:snRNA U1 U1 spliceosomal RNA
GAAGCCACCUAGCAGAGGAGAUACCAUGAUUAUGAAGGUGGUUUUUCCAGGGCGAGUCUUAUCCAUUGCACUCCGGGUGUGCUGACCCCUGUGAUUUCACCAAAUUUGGAAAACUUGACUGCAUAAUUUGUAGUAGUUGUGGGCUGCCUUCGCGCUUUCCCCUG